ensembl:lncRNA
CUCUAGUCCAGCUACAGAGUUUUUCCUUCCGUUCGUCCGAUGAGGCGCAUGCUGCUCUCGUGCCCUCUACGAGCUGGAAAUUCGGGAAAAAGUCUUGUAGCGGUUACAAAUGUGAAGCGGAGCUGAGUCCGACAGCAUUCGCCAUUACACGAACUCCUCUGGCUGGUUUGUUUGCCCUUUUGGUGCCCUGGAUCCUACUGGAUGAACUGCCUUGUGGAAGUCCUCAUCUGAUGACUCUGCCGAACCGUCCUGGCAAAUAGAUGGUCGUUGCUGCUUGCUGGAUGCUAUUAUUGGAUGCUACACCGUUCCAACAGAGCGGUAGGAACAAUUCAAAGGGCCCCAACGAUGCGCUUUAUUUUUCCCUGAGCUCAGGUGAUUUUCUUUUGGCCAAAGGACCUUAAAGGAUACAUAUUUGUUUUUAUUUAUUUAUUUUAUUUUUCUUAUGACACUGAGUGGAAAGACACUACAAAAAAAAGGGGUUUAUUAUUUAAAAUUGUGUCAAAUAAAUGUGUUUAUGCUAAGUAAGUGUGGUGUCCAUUGUGUGCUGGAAGCCUUAUUGUUCCUGUGGUGGAGCAGCUACUACCAAUCUCCUUUACGAAACUAGCUUCUGACAGGAUACAGGUAUUUGGGAUACAUUUGAUUUCUUGUAACCUAUUUUUAGAGAAACUGUGAUUCUGGGUUAAACAUCGGGGUGAAAUUGAUGACACCGACACCUAGUGAACUGCCCAAGGUCAACAGUCCUGAUUUCCACGCAUUAAAGGUUUGGCGUAAGUACAGAUUGCGUUACAAGUGGCGAGCCAGCCAGGAGAUUGGUGAAAAGUAGCACCUUGACUUUCCAGCUCACAACACCUACCUCUUUUCCUUGACCCUAUUGUGUUGGACAUGGAUCUUUGCAGACGUUUUGAUGUAGAUGGCCAGUGCUCACUUUUUGUGACUGGCGUUGAAGGGAUUUACACAGAUGAUGACAUUGCUAGUGUUUUUUCAGUAAAUGGUAAAGUUUCUCGGAUAGUUCGAAUUCCAGAUGAAUCAAACCAGCCAGAGGGUAGAGUCCUGAUACAAUAUUUGUCCGAUCAAGCCAUUUCCAAGAUCAACCCCCAGAUCUUAGGCGACUUGCCGAGCCCCAAGGAUCCUGCUAUCGGUUGGUCUGUCAAAACCAUUCGAGAUGUUGCUCAGGAAGAGGUAGGCAAGGAGUUAGCUCGUAGAUAUUUAG